rnacentral:rRNA from 1 species
AAGCAACGCGAAGAACCUUUACCAGGUCUUGACAUCCCUCUGAAUGGCGCUUAGCAGCGCAGGUCCUUCGGGACAGAGGAGACAGGUGGUGCGAUGGUUGUCGUCAGCUCGUGUCGUGAGAUGUUGGGUUAAGUCCCGCAACGAGCGCAACCCUUGCCUUUAGUUGCCAGCACGUAAAGGUGGGCACUCUAGAGGGACUGCCGGUGACAACCGGAGGAAGUGGGAUGACGUCAAAUCAUCAUGCCCCUUAUGAUCUGGGCUACACACGUGCUACAAUGGCCGGUACAACGAGAAGCGAAACCGCGAGGUGAAGCAAAUCUUUUAAAGCCGGUCCCAGUUCGGAUUGCAGGCUGAAACUCGCCUGCAUGAAGUUGGAGUUGCUAGUAAUCGCGGAUCAGCAUGCCGUGGUGAAUGCGUUCCCGGGUCUU